rnacentral:tRNA from 1 species
GUCUCAGUGGCGUAGUGGUUAGCGCACUAGGCCAAUACAGGCGCGAGACGCGAGUUCGAAUCCCGCCCGAGAUG